GAACGAACGCUGGCGGCAGGCCUAACACAUGCAAGUCGAGCGGAUGUAGCAAUACAUCAGCGGCGCACGGGUGAGUAACGCGUGGGAACCUGCCCUUUGGUACGGAACAACCCUGGGAACUAGGGCUAAUACCGAAUACGCCUCGAGAGAGGGAAAGAUUUAUCGCCGAAGGAGGGGCCCGCGUCCGAUUAGCUAGUUGGUGGGUAAAGGCCUACCAAGGCUACGAUCGGUAGCCGGUCUGAGAGGACGAUCGGCCACACUGGGACUGAGACACGGCCAGACUCUACGGGAGGCAGCAGUGGGAAUAUUGGACAAUGGGCGCAAGCCUGAUCCAGCCAUGCCGCGUGAGUGAAGAA
rnacentral:rRNA from 1 species